AUUUACAUGACGAGUCCAAAAUGAGAUGAAACGCGCGUCCUGAAU
rnacentral:hammerhead_ribozyme from 1 species